UCGUAAGGAAGUUUCAUGAGCUUCCGGGUCCAAGAUUUUGGAAUCUGGUGUUUGCAAGAGGAAUCUCUGUCUGGUCCUGAAGCUGUAUGCGUUCAUGAAAUCUACGCCUCCUGAUUCCCGGUUUAUUUGAGACUCAAGAGAGGAAGUGUGGCCGUGAAUGGGAAGAUCGUUUCCCCUUCCCAGGCCUGUCUCCUCCUCCACCAGAAGGAGCAGCAUGGGCCUAGAGGCACCAAUCUCUUUUAGUAAGUACAUGAGAAGAACCCGUGGACAACUUACACCGCAUAACAGACCUGAAACAAGUUGGGCAUAGAGAAUGAGGAUGCAAACCCUUUCUAGCAGGUUCCCACUAGGUGAGUGUUAAGAAGGAAAGACAACUGGAAUAAACAGAACCCAGAAGACUGUUGGCGCUGUGUUUCUCUGUGCUGUGUUAAGAAGCCAGCAUUGUGGAGCCCCUGUUCUGGAAGGCACUGUAUAUGACACUGAAACCACAGCCACAUAAAUGCCUUUUAAUAAUUGGUUGGUCAUCAGCUGGCAGGGUAAUCUCUUAAGGAGACAAUGUGCAGUUGACUUUUUUUAUUUUUGAGAUUACAAUUACAUCAUUUCUCCCCUCUCUUUCCUCCCUCCAAGACCU